ensembl:lncRNA
UCUGAGCAGAACUUUUCUGAAAGCUGAAGAGUUGGAGAGACGUUUUAAAACAUUACUAGAACUUUCCACAACCUGCAAAUAAGCUCACGGACUCUCAAUCGAUAAAACAAACUUUUACCUACAGCUUUAAUUAAUGCUUCUCUGGUUAUUUUUGUGCUCUAAUUAUUUAUUUUACAUUGUGUGUUGUAUAUAUUUACCUAAAGCUUUUUCUUGAUUUUUCAAUAACUGCUUAAAUUAAGACUUUUGGUCCAUUUAGCACUCUGGUCCAGGGAUGGUUAUCUCAAGGUGCACGAUGAACCCAUUAGCUUUUAAAGCUUUCUUUGGCCUUCAUAUUACCUUUUUUCUUCAUCACUCAAAGGUCCACUUCUUGGCUGUUUUCUGAACCUCCAGCUACAUCUCAGAGCUUUGGGUGAGGUGUGUUUUUGUGUUUUUCACUUGUUCUUUAUAGUCCAGCUCUGUUACCCAGGAUAAUAAAAAUAGACUUGAUCUAGGAGCAGAGAAAAAUCUGUGUUGUCAAACCCACUGAGUGUGUGAAUACACGCCAGCAUCGCAGGAUAUUUAUCCAGUCUUCCAAGAACAACAGGAAAGUGAAAAUUAUGCCAUCCAGAAGAGCUAAAAUGUUUUUUUGGCCACAAAACCUUGAGUAAAAACACGACUUUACCCCGGCUUGCUUAAUAUGUGAUACACAGAGGGGCCUGUUUUUUUGGCUUUAACUUGUUCUACGUGCUUCGUUACUUAUUCAGUUUUAAUGAGUAACAAUAGUCAAAUCCUGUCUUUAACCUCCUAAGACCCGAACUCUUCCACGACAUGCAUUUUUAAUUUCUCUUUGAUAUUUGGGCUGAUUGGGACCCGAUGAAUGUAAAAACAAAGAAUUACCAGAUUUUUAUUUUUUUUUACCUGAUUUUUGUUUCUAAGAAAAAUGAGAGCCACAUAUGAGGAUAUUCAUUUAAAAUUUCGAUAGACCAUUGGCAGUAUAAUGUCCUCGUAAGUGGAUAUCAGGCCCCUGUACACCAAAAUUGAAUAUUUUGGUCUAAAUAAGCCAAAAUGUGAUGUCCACAUAUGUGGACGCCAGGUCCUAGGAGGUUAAACUAACUGUUGCUGAAUUUCUGUGCUGCCUGAUAAACAAAGAAGAACAACAUUCAGAAUGACGUUCGUAUGUUUUCUUUUUUCUUUGUUGACGGGGUGGUUAUUUAUCUUGUUUUGGUGCAAAGCUUUGAGGCUCGAUGAAAAAAUGAUCAAUUUAAAGUACACUUUUCAUCUUGUGUAUGUUUCCUACAUUUAAAUUAUGUUGUUGUAAUGUCUGGGUGCUACGGUGCUGUCGCAUUUGCUGAUUUAUGUAAGCAUUAAUCGAUUUUUUUUUGUUUAAUUUAAUUCAAUUUUCCGUUUCAGUCAUUCAGGUCAUGUGAUGAAGCUUUAAGGAGACGUGGUUGAAGGAUGUGGGAAAAAGCCUUUUAGAGGGCCUUUGAGCAAGCAUUAUCACACAAACUGUUCACAGGGUCCCAGAUGAACUUUUAAUGCUUUAAUAUGUUUGUUUUUCUGUCCAACACACUGAGCACUGGAGCCUCUAGAGGGCAGUAGCAGGACUUUUGGCUGUCAGUCUGGUGUACUGCUAGCAGAUAGCUUCUUUUAGCACUUUUAACCUUCAGGUUAUUGUUUUCACAGUUGCACUGGAAACCAGAGAAAAUGUUAAUGUUACUAAUGAUGUCAUGGUGUCUCCUCAUCAAACUGUAUAACAAAUACUCUGAUGUAACGCGAUGUCACAGGAAAGCAGUCAGAUACUGUGCAGACAGGUCUACCUGAGGAACACGUGCCCGCUCAGGUAAAAGGCAGCAUGUGAUUGGUCAGAUUAACACUGGUGUCAGUCUUAAUGACUUUGGAGUUGAAGGAUGGGUUCAUAUUUUAUUUGCAGCCAGUACGGACAACAUUAUCAACGACACUGAGCAAUGCCUCACAGACAUGUGAUUUCUGUGUUACAGUAGACUUGAGGAAAUGUGAACCCAUCCUUUAAUGGUAAAAGUGGUCUACUACUGGAUAAAUGUGCUCAUUUUCUUAAAACUUUACAUUAAUUUCUUCUACAGGGUUAUUGGGUGAUGUAAACAUCAGAAGCGCAGCAUGUGGUGGCCUUCACAUGAUAGCCUGGUGGCAGCAUUGUCUGUGUCCUCUAUGCUUUGUUGGGAACUCUUCCAUAGCUUCACCUUCUUGAGCUAGUCUUGGCUGCUGUAGCUCCUCAUUGGCUUUCUUUAGUCCUUUGACCUUGAAGUUAGUCUUUUGUAGGAAAUUCCACAUGGAUGUUGCCCACAGCAGCUGACUUUAGUCUAGAAAUGAGGACGCACACUAUACUUUGGAAAUGGCCUCAACAACCAGACACUGGAACCUGGCUUGUUGCAGUUCAUGGGAAGUUUUUGUACAUCUAGAUAGGUUAGAGUGUGAUCCCUACUACCUCUUUAAGCUUCUUUAUGAGGUCUGAAUUCUUUUCUGUCAGUCAGAAGCUUGAAGUCAGAAGUGGAGGACAGUGGAAAACUAGCUUUGACCCUCUGGAAGUCUGUUUGUGGUGUCUGUGAGGACCUUAUCAUCCCACCACCUACGGCGCUUUUUGACAUCCAGUUAAGAUGUUGCUCAGGCUGCAUGAGCCUGGCUGACACCGCUUGCAGGAUGCAUCCUUUUCCUUGUCUCAGGCAAUAAAGCUGCUUGGGAUUGGAAAGAGGUUAGUCACAGCACACAUAAGGAAGUCCAGCAUGCCCUGCUCACAGCCCCAGAGCUCCUUCCAGGACUGCAAUGGCUCUACUGCUUCAAACCUAUCCUCAUAUUGCAUUGGGUGUUAACACCUACUGACUCUAUGUGUUAGUCUUCUUUUUAAACUCUCAGCAGCAUGAGUUGCCUCUUGACUUUGGCUUUGUUAGACCUGACCAAUGAUUUUCUAGUGUUUCAAAUAUUCUUCUGCCUCCCUCACUGCUUGAAACAGUAGUGCUUAUUAAAGGAUGGUUUCUUUCUCUUUGGUUUUUGGAGGUUAUCUCUGGUUUCAUAUACUUAAUUAGAAAUUUAGCACAUUUAGAAAUGAUCAAUAGCUAACACGAGCACAUUUACAGCAUUGGUGUGAAUGUCACUACGCUGUUUUUAUGUAAAUACUUUUGUUGCCAUGGCAAGAAAAAAGCACACCAGGCCUCACAGCUAAAAGACUGUAUCAGAAAGAGAAACACGAGCAGAAAAAGUCAGUAACCCUCACAUUUGGAAAUCGUCAUCGUCAAUAUUGAAUUUUCUGUGUUUUCAAGUGGUCAGUAUUUUAAAUGUCUUCCUGCCUCUUCCUGAAGAACUUGAAGCCUCUCAGUCUUCCAGUAACAAACAAACAGUUUGUGUUUGUGUGUGUGUGUGUGUGUGUGUUUUCUAUGCAGUAACUGAUCUCACAGCUCAGUAACUUACUUCAGUUCUUGUGUGUCAAAUCUGUGUUAAUGAUGGCUGUCUGACUCUUCUACAUCAAAUCAGCUGUUCUCAACUUCCUGUCCCAUGAUGUCAUCAGGGUGCAAUAUUGAACUGAUCAGAUGCUGCUUUUCUCAGCACUUAAGGCUUGGUAGACUUUACAUUCGGGGGCCUGUAGUUGCAACACUGGUAUGAAUUAAACUGGGAUGCACUGUUUAAAUGGUGAGUGUGUUUGUGUUUGAGUGUGUGUGCAUUCUUGGAAUAAAUGUUGACUAUUUGCUUUCAACAAAAGAGCCCAUUUCCAUGAACAUCAAUGUCAUGCAAACAGUGAAGUAAAUUAAAUGUUUAAAGGAGCGGUUCACCCAAACUACUACACACAGGGCUUCUUCUUUUUCUUUUUAAGCAUCUCAUAUAUUUGAGAUAACUACAAAACAUAGUUUGGUGGAGUGUUAUAUGUGUUAUUUGUCAAUUUUCGCCAAAUAUAUUUUAAAAGCGCAUUCAGGUUUGAAAGUGGGAAGGAAAAACUGGUGACGCACACGGUUCAGCUUCGAUACAUUUAGCCAGCCCUCUUCAUUCAAAUCCUUCACGGUUGACCUUGAAUGGAAAUGUUUGAAGUGCGCUCAGAGAUGAAUGUGAAAGAUGUCUCCCUUUAUAUUCCAGUCUUCCUGCUUUAGAGAACCCUUGUCAGCUUCUUUUUUUAACGAAAAUUGUUUAUUAUGAUGUGAAUAUGCAAAUUAUAUUAUGCAACAUUUCUCAUAUUUUAUUCCUGUAAAAAAUUGUUUUCAUUAAAAACUGCUGUAUAUCCUACA